rnacentral:rRNA from 1 species
AUGAGGUUCCUAUCAUUCGUGGAUCUGCCUUGUCAUCCGUGUAUGGCCAUGGUUAUCCUCCCACUCCUCCUGCUCGUGCCUCUCACCGCUGCCCAAACGUGGCCAGCGUGCGGCGAGAGCGGCAACUACAAAUCAAAUAGCACCUAUGAAGCCAACCUCAAGCUCCUCUCUUCCAUCCUCCCAAAGAAAGCAGCAUCCAACACCACCCUCUUCGCCACCGACACCGUCGGCAAUGUUCCGAACACCAUCUUUGCCCUUGCUCUCUGCCGCGGGGACUCCAAUGCCUCUGCCUGCGAAGGAUGCUUGGUGACCGCCUUCCAGGACGGGAAGGAACACUGCACGAGCAAUAAGGACGCCACCGUGUACUACAAUAGCAAUCCCUGCAUGCUCAGGUUCUCCAACCAGAAUUUUCUCGCCACCAACGUCAAUGACAAUAUAUUCGUCAUUGUGAGCCUCGAGAUGUUCAUAAACAUCUCGACAAGAGCUUUCAACUUCUUGUUGUUCACACUUCUGAACAACACAGCUCAAUCGGCUGCGAACAGCUCGAGGAGGUUCACCACCUCGCGCUUAGAUGUCAGCUCCCUCCCGACGCUCUACUGCCUUAUGCAGUGCACGCCCGACCUGAGUGCUGAUGACUGUGCGGCCUGUUUCCAGCCUUACUCCCAGUUAACACUCAAGUACAUGGACCGUAGGAAAGGUGGUCGACUUCUGGGGACACGGUGUAGCAUGAGGUACGAGAUAUACCCGUUCUUUCAAGCGGACCCCAUGCUGCAUAUUAUCAGCUUGGUAUCUGAACUUCCGCCGAUCAACAAUACCAUGCCGCCAGUUACAUUGUACCCACCCCCGCAGUCGCAACCGCUGUCACCGGUUGCGGCACCACCACCUCCGGAGGCGCAGGCGACCACCCAAGAACUUCAUGGACGCAACUCACGCCGGAGGGUGCUUUGGAUUAUUGCUGUGGCAGCUCCAUUACUGUCAAUAUUUUUGUGUGUUAUUUGUUUCGUUGUAUGGAUGAGAAGACGAAGAAAAGGAACUGAAAUCGUACAUGAUCAAGCUGCCACAAAUAGGCCGGAAGAAGACGCAUUGGUUUGGAGAUUGGAAGAAAAGAGUUCAGAGUUCAUUCUCUUUGACUUUUCUGAGAUAUUGCAUGCUACACACAACUUCUCGAAAGAAAACCUACUUGGGCAAGGUGGUUUUGGCCCUGUCUACAAGGGCCAAUUACCAGAUGGAAUAGAAAUUGCAGUUAAAAGGCUUGCCUCACAUUCAAGACAGGGUUUCACGGAAUUCAAAAACGAAGUUGAACUUAUUGCAAAACUACAACACAGUAAUCUGGUCAAGCUCAUGGGUUGCUGCAUUCAGGGAGAGGAAAAACUUUUGGUGUACGAAUAUUUGCCAAAUAAGAGCUUGGACUUCUUUAUCUUUGAUGUUAGCAGAACAACGUUGGUUGAUUGGAAUAAAAGAUGUGUGAUAAUCGAAGGGAUAGCCCAAGGUCUACUGUAUCUCCACAAGCACUCUCGGUUGCGCAUCAUACACAGAGACCUUAAGGCCAGCAACAUUCUCUUGGACCAGGACAUGAAUCCUAAAAUUUCUGAUUUUGGGUUAGCUAAAAUUUUCAGCUCCAAUGAUACCCAAGGAAGCACAAAGAGGGUGGUGGGAACAUAUGGUUAUAUGGCUCCGGAGUACGCAUCUGAAGGCAUUUACUCGAUCAAAUCUGAUGUGUUCAGCUUUGGUGUCUUACUUCUCGAGAUCCUUAGCGGACAAAGGAAUUCUGGUUUCCAUCAGCAUGAAGACUUUCUUAACCUACUUGGAUACUCAUGGCAGCUCUGGGAAGGAGGAAGAUGUCUUGAGAUUCUAGAAGCAUCAAUUGCUAAGGAGAUCCAUGCAGCCGAGGCUAGGAGGUACAUUAACAUUGCACUAAUGUGCGUACAAGAGCAUGCAGAUGAUCGACCGACUAUGUCAAAUGUCGUUGCGAUGUUAAACAGCGAGGGUGUUAUUCUUCCAGAGCCUAAGCAUCCGGCAUACUUCAACCUAAGGGUAUCUAAGGAAGAUGAAUCGGGUAGUGUUCUGGACAGUCAUAAUGAUGUAACUAUCUGCAGUAAUAAUGACGUAACCAUCACUGAGGAGCCAGAUGGCAGAUAG